AUGGACCUUACUAUGACAAAUCUUUGUGUUCGUGGGAAGGAACACAUAGCUGCUUCAUUCUCUCAAGUUGAACCCGCUGCCGCAAAUUGCAGGAGUGAAGCCCUAGAUGUAGCAUCAGUUAAAGUUGGUUGCCUCGGGAGCUCGGAAGCAGCUGAGACUUCUAGAAAAUCAUUCGAGCAGAGAAGUCGAAGUUUCCCUGUUCCUGAUGAUGACUGCAGGCUGGUCCUAGGACUUGGACCAAUGCCAAAUCUGUAUUCUGCUGACAGUCAAUCAUCUGGUGGGAACAGAGUUAAAUUAUCUGAAACUUUGUUCACUCCACAUUGUACCGCAAGUGAUUCUGGAUUAGUGUUGGCGGCUUCAAGAGGCAGCUCAAGAAAUUUGCAGUCCACGAUAGUGCCUGGCCGCAAGGAGCAUUCACAUAAAAGGAAAAAUGGUAUUGUGUUCCCACUUAUUGAUGAGGGAUCAACUUCAGCCAAAAGGAGAUCAGGUGAUUAUGAGCUGUCACCUCAGUUUGCUCCAAGAUCAGAUGUUCUUUUUAUUGAUAGAACAACGGCAGAGCCUGAUGUCCAGCAACACCUUGGAACCGGAUAUGAGGCCGAUCGUGAUUUAUCUCUUGAUCAGCACGGGGUCGAGCUUAGCCCCGAGCCUUCAGCAACAACUGGUUGUUCUUUUGCUGCAACGUCAGACACACUAGAUAGCACUGAUAACGGGGAGCAGAAAAAUCAUCAGCGCCAUCUCAAGAAGUGUAGGUUCAAUGGGUGUUCCAAGGGCGGAAGGGGUGCAUCAGGACUCUGCAUUUCCCAUGGCGGCGGUCACCGGUGCCAGAAGCCAGGUUGCAACAAAGGGGCCGAGAGCCGAACGGCGUACUGCAAAUCUCACGGAGGAGGAAAGCGGUGCCAAGAGCUAGGCUGCACCAAAAGCGCCGAGGGGAAGACAGAGUUCUGCAUCGCCCACGGCGGCGGGCACCGGUGCGGGGUUCAGGAGUGCUCCAAAGCAGCACGGGGAAGAUCAGGGCUUUGCAUAAAACACGGCGGUGGGAAGAGGUGCAUGACGGAGGGCUGCACCCGGAGCGCCGAAGGGUAUCCCGGGGUGUGCAUCGCGCACGGAGGUGGUCGCCGGUGUCAGUUCCCGGACUGCAGCAAGGGAGCACAGGGAGGCACCCUGUUCUGCAAGUCCCAUGGCGGAGGCAAACGGUGCGUAUCCGAAGGUUGCACCAAAGGGGCCGAGGGCAGCACGUUGCUGUGCAAAGGGCAUGGCGGUGGGAAGAGGUGCCUCUUCGAGGGAGACGCGGCGUGUCCUAAGAGUGUUCACGGCGGGACCAGCUUCUGCGUGGUGCACGGAGGGGGCAAGCGCUGCGCCGCGCCAGGGUGCACCAAGAGCGCCCGCGGUCGCACCGAUUGCUGCGUCAGGCAUGGCGGUGGCAAGCGCUGUAAAUCUGAUGGGUGCGACAAGAGCGCGCAGGGGAGCACCGACUUCUGCAAGGCGCACGGCGGUGGCAAGCGGUGCGCCUGGAGCGCCGGCUGUGAGAAGUUUGCCAGGGGGAGGAGCGGUCUAUGCUCUGCUCAUGGAAACCUGACGGCCUCAAAGCAGGGCCUAAGCAUGGUCGGGCCUGGCCUCUUCAGCGGGAUCGUCGUCUCUUCUUCCUCGACGGUGGGCAGCGGCAUGGACCGUGUGAUCUCUUCUUCUCUCCCCGGCGCCUCGUCAGAUUGCUGCGGCGAGUCGUUGGAACACUUGCAGAGUGGCAGGCUCAUACCGCCACAGCUGCUGGUUCCUGGCUCCCUGCAGAAACCAUCGUCUUCGUUUAACCCGGCGGGCAAUGGCCAAGAAGAAGAAGGUGGCGGUAUCCGGAACCAGAGCUUCGGGUUCGUCGUGCCGGAGGGAAGGGUGCACGGCGGAGGGCUCAUGUCGAUGCUCCGAGCAGGACACCUGGGAAGCAACAUCAACAACCCGGAAUCCUGA
rnacentral:rRNA from 1 species